UAGGGAAUCUUCGGCAAUGGACGAAAGUCUGACCGAGCAACGUCGCGUGAGUGAAGAAGGUUUUCGGAUCGUAAAACUCUGUUGUUAGAGAAGAACAAGGACGUUAGUAACUGAACGUCCUCUGACGGUAUCUAACCAGAAAGCCACGGCUAACUACGUGCCAGCAGCCGCGGUAUUUCGUAGGUGGCAAGCGUUGUCCGGAUUUAUUGGGCGUAAAGCCAGCGCAGGCGGUUUCUUAAGUCUGAUGUGAAAGCCCCCGGCUCAGCCGGUGAGGGUCAUUGUAACCUGGGAGUCUUGAGUGGAGAAUAAGAGAGUGGAAUUCCAUGUGUAGCGGUGAAAUGCGUAGAUAUAUGGAGGAACACCAGUGACGAAGGCGGCUCUCUGGUCUAUAACUGACGCUGAGGAUCGAAAGCGUGGGAAGCAAACAGG
rnacentral:rRNA from 1 species